UGGAUCCAUUGAUGAGAUGUACUGUAGACGGCAUUAGACACGAAUAAAGACCAAAAAUAAGUUAAAAUUUUAUUCAUUAAUUGUACUGUUCAAUGAUGCGCACCAAACAUGUCAUCAAGUAUGAGAAUUUGUGGAUUUUCAUGAUCAAAUCUGGCUUGUGUGCUCAUGAAUCUGAAACAAGAAGUGCAUCCCACAUUGUAUCCCUGCCCAGAGAUGGCAUUCUGCUUAACUGAACUAUAUCGAUAUCUGAUAACCCUUUCUGAAUAUUCUUCUUUUCAUCGAUCACCUGAUACAGUGGCAAAUUAAUUGAUUUAAUGUGAACAUGAUUAUUUCCCUGUCACCUACCAAAUAUGCUGGGGGAAGGGGGUGGUGACACAAAAUUCUUAAGUGCACCGACAUUGCACAACAGGUGUUGCAGCUGCAUUGAAUCAUAAAAACAUUGUGAGCUCUGGGUAAGGGAGAAUAUUCAGAUUCAAAAUUAGUCUAAGAACAUUCGCCCCUCCACUUUUCCCAUCCUCCACCCUCCUAUAAUUCAUUGCUUUACCACUACGAAAAAAAUUACUUACUGGUGCUUUUAAAUGCUUUAAAAUCUUCACCUAGAUGCUUUUUUUAAUAUGGAGCAAAAUCAUCUGCAAAUGCUUCGCAAAAUAUGUCCACAUUUACUGCUUUACCUCAUUGAUUGGCUGAAUACAUACUAUCAUGACAAAACUGAGAAGCUUCACCAGAAAAGGAUUAUAAAGUCCACGACGUCUUUGCCUGAAGGUAGUCUUCUUCUCCUCAUCCUUCAUUUUUUAAUAUAUAUAUUUUCAAAUUUUUGCUUAUGUUGUUUGAGUUGUAAAUUUUCUUGACAUGGAGUAUAAAUGUGGACAAUUAUGUGUAGGACUCAUCUCUAGUCGGAAAAUAAAGUGGUCCCCAUUAUUUUAAAAGUUAAAACUAAUUAUUUAUUUUAGUCACUAUGUUUUGAGUUAAUUAAGAG
rnacentral:lncRNA from 1 species